AUACGUAGGGGGCGAGCGUUGUCCGGAAUGAUUGGGCGUAAAGGGCGCGUAGGCGGCCCGGUAAGUCUGGAGUGAAAGUCCUGCUUUUAAGGUGGGAAUUGCUUUGGAUACUGUCGGGCUUGAGUGCAGGAGAGGUAAGUGGAAUUCCCAGUGUAGCGGUGAAAUGCGUAGAGAUUGGGAGGAACACCAGUGGCGAAGGCGACUUACUGGACUGUAACUGACGCUGAGGCGCGAAAGUGUGGGGAGCAAACAGGAUUAGAUACCCUUGUAGUCCACACUGUAAACGAUGAAUGCUAGGUGUAGGGGGUAUCGACCCCUUCUGUGCCGCAGUUAACACAAUAAGCAUUCCGCCUGGGGAGUACGGCCGCAAGGUUGAAACUCAAAUGAAUUGACGGGG
rnacentral:rRNA from 1 species